CAAGGUUUUAGAACCAGAAUCUUUCCAAUCGAAGAAAAUGGAAUGGACUAUCGAUAUCGAUGUGGAUAACUGCGACAACGAAUUACUACAUCGAUAAUUGUUUGGAAUAAGAAUCAUUUCGUUGAUUUUGCGAUGUUUGGAAUAGUUUACGACGGAUUAGAUUUAGGUUAGGUUUAUCGCAACGUAUAUCUUACUUAUCCUUGAAGGAUGUUCAAUUUAUCUAACCUCAUCUUCUUCGAAAUAAUUUUAUCUACUGUGCACAUACAUCGUUAAGCAAUCCUUGAUCAGA